UGGUUGGAUGGCAUCACCAACUCGAUGGACAUGAGUCUGAGCAAGCUCCAAGGGUUUUGAUGGACAGGGAAGCCUGGUGUGCUGCAGUGCAUGGGGCUGCAAAGAGUCGGACACAACUGAGCAACUGAACUGAACCCAAGUUAGGCAUUAAGUGUGGGCAUAAACACUUCAGCAGAUGCCACUCUCCUUUAUGGUUUCACUUUCCUUUCUAAGCCGGGAAAGUUGGCUGCUGAAAAGAAUUGAAGAGAGAAUAAGAACUAAGUCUUUCCUGAGGGGCAGGAAAGGAAAUGGGCUUUCCUUCUUUCUCAAGGGAAAUGCUGAGAGAAGACAGAGAGUCUGCAAUAGAAAGGCAAACUGGACACAGAAAAGACAGCAAUCUCAUGCUUCCAAUUAAUUUAGGAGGACUUCAGAUGAGUCUUCAGGAGGUAGUGAAAUCCAUGGCCAUGCCUGGGCCUAACUUGUUUGGAUGCUGUUGGUUGAUCAAACACACCAAUUACCAGGAUGAAAACUCCAACCCCCUCCCUCACAACCUCCGACAGAACUCUAAAUGCAUAAGACCUGUCAGUUAUAUCAAGACCUACAGAUUAUCACCAGCUCCCAUUUUGCUUACCUGAGCUCACCACCACAUUUGGUUUUGCUCGGGUUCAUACAGAGUAGGAGAGUGAAGGAGGAACUACUUUUCAAGUUCUUCUAUGGCAAAACAAUGCACUCAAUUUUUUUGUAAAUAUGAUCCUUAAUAAGAUCCAUGAAUUAAUCUAUAAAUGAGAUCCUUCAUGAAAUCCAUAACAUAAAUCAAACCCGUAGCUGGAACUUCCCCUACCUUCCUUUUUGGUGUACUUAGCUAUGCAAACCUUUUAAGUUGGAAAACUGCUGUCAGAAUGUAAUUGCUGACCAAGGUAAAUGCCAGCUGUGCUCAGAUGGUACUGAAAACUAUCAACGUACAAUUUACACUUUGUCUCAGCUACUUUUCUCAACCAAAAUUUAGACUUCCUAGUUCGACAAGGAUGCGUUUUUAUUUGUGAAAAGACUUAAAGGAUUUUAAAAUAAAAUUUUAUUUAGUUACCUAUUUAAUGGACUGAUCUCCCCCCUCAAGGAAUUAUAUGGAAUUGUCAUUGGACUAUCGUAGAAAAUAUGUGAUAUCCUAAGUAUGCUUCCGCAGGAAACUGAUCCUCUCGUGUGGCUUCAAAUAGCAGGUGCUCUGCAAAUACACUGUCACACUUGAGAUGGAUAAGGAUCCUAUGUUUUCUGGUCGUUCAAAAUCACCAUCAGGCUGAGCUGCUCUAGAGGAAUGGGAAGGAAGCCAUAACUGUGUGAACUCAGUUGCUGUGGGAAGCAGCCCCUCCUCUUCCUAAGUCGAGACAUAAGACAUCUACAUGCCUGAAGAUGAAUGACAAAACUGUACAGGUUCUACUUGGACUUCCACCCUAUAUUCUCAAUUUUCCACCCUAUAUUCUCAAUUUCUAGAACAUUCUUGGGCACACAGAAUGUACUCAAUAAUUUCUUAACUGCCAAGUGAAUGAAUAAAUGAAUGAAUGAUUUGUUUACUGUUUCCUGACAAAAAAUUAAAAUGCUUUGACUCCAAGCACAAUAACCUCCAUUUUUUCUAGAGUUAUGAGAGAUUUGCAGUGUUCUUAGCCUGAAAGAGAAGAAUCCAAGUAUUCA
rnacentral:lncRNA from 1 species